UCAUGAAAGAGUCACAAUGGCCCUUCAUUGUGCCCAGGAAUUACAAUAUACCUGCCUGAUAGUGGUGCGUACCAGCUGUUUGAGGAGUAAAGUAAACUCCAGUUUAAGAAAGGGGUCAUGAGAGAAGAUGACAUCUGACCCAAGACUUGAAAACAGAUUUUUUUUUCUUAUUUGAAACUUUUUUUAAGUGCUAAAGAGUAAUCCCAUAGAGAAGACAGUCUCCAGGAUCUGGAACAGGAAACUGAAACAGACUGGGGUGGCCAAUGCACUGCGGGCCCUUCCUCAGCUUAUGCCUACAGCAAAUAAGCCUGGGGAUGGCUGGCCCAGCAGGUGAGUGCUGUUCCAUGUCACCCUGAGGACCUGCAGGACUCUCACAAUUGGUGUGCAACGUUCUGUCUGCUUAGUGCCCUCCCAACCCUGCAGAAGGAUGAACAGAUGAGGGAACCCUAGAAAAUGCUGAUCUGGGAGAGUUCCUGACAACCCACUGUGUUACUGUGGUUGUAAAGUGGGCGGCGGCUGGGGUUCCUGUAGCUGAGUCACAGCUCUGACAACUUUCACUGCAUUUCUCAGAAAGAAAACAAAAAAAGACUCAGUCCCAAAACCCACCACUCUAGCCCCCAACUCUGUGUCACUUGAACGGGGAGGGGAUGGGGGUAGCGUCAGUCUCACAACUGGGGUGUCCCCACUCAUCGAGCAACUUCUCACCGGCGCCAAGCCUCGUGGUCCAGGGAGCGCUAGCCAAGUGCCACCAAGCCCCGGGCGAAAGGAAGAGAAACGAGCCGCGUCCUCACCUGCAGG